rnacentral:rRNA from 1 species
GCCUACGGCCAUACCAGUCUGAAAGUGCCUGAUCUCAGAAGUCAUGCAGACUUGGGCUUGCUUAGUACUUGUAUGGGAGACCAACUAGGUAAACCUCAGGUGCCGUAAGAU